rnacentral:lncRNA from 1 species
AUUGUUGAAUCAAGCAAAACUGUUGUGAAACACAGGAUGUGAUUCUCUGAUUAACUCUUUUCUUUCUAGGACACAUGCAGUGUAUCAGAUCCUAGCAGCCUGUCAGUGCGUGUCCUCCAGAGCUUUCUAGCAUCCUGGAUUCUCUCCAGAAGCAUGGAAACAAGUUCAGCCAGACAUUACUGAGGCACAUUCCAGAAAUACUGUAUGGACAGAAGGGAAAAGUGCAAGGUUAUCGUUCGGGGGUUUUGGACACAUUCCCAUCUGCUGUCAAGAUCUGACAGUGAUCACCAAGGAAAUGAACACGCUGAUGGCCCUCUGCAUCUCCAGCACAGUUCGGUUGGAUGCCGCUAGUGGGUGGCAGUAUCUCUCGUUUUGAUCAAGGAAACAGAAGUAUCGAGUGAUCCAAGGCAAUGGCUCGCCUACUUCUCUCUUUAGAGUUUAAAACCAUCUCAUGCACCGAUUGUGAUCUCUGGCAACUGCAGGUAAAAGAUGGCCUGUAUCACGGCUAGUUUGUAAUUGCAGGAGGAAGGAGAACAAAAACCCCAAUGUCUCUGGACUUCAGCCUCUGGGCAAGGAUUUGCCCUUUUAACACUGUGUUCUUAUAUAUUUAUAGUUUCUUCAGCAAUGUGUAUUGAAUACACUUUUCCUGAGCAAGAGAAAGGCACAGGUGUAGAUGGUGUCUAGCAAAUAGGACUCUGGCCGGGCUGAUGUCUUUGGGUGUUGCCACAGCAAACGUGUGAAAAAGUUGAAAGCUAAAUUGUGUUGAUAAAUUUGCACUCAUACAUGCUAAGUAUGAAGCCACACAGUUAUUACAGUGUCCUUCUCAAUUUUGGUAAAUGACUAGAACAGUGCGGACAUCCUGCUGCAUCAGAAAUGUGUCAGUUAAGAUAUGAGUUUGGUAAAUUUAAGCAAAUCCUAGUUGCAUUGAAAUCAAUGGGAAAACUGAAUGAAAGCUGAUAAACCAGGAUUUGACCCUGAAUUUGGUAAGAAAACAUUACAGGUUGAGGAAACUCUGCCUUAACAGGCUCCAGCUACUACAACCAUGUAGCUUAACUUCAUGGUGAAUUCUUAGACCCGUGCAUAUACUGCGGCUGGAUCCUUACACUCAGAUACUACUGUUGGGUAUAUCUAAUGUUGAAGGACCGCACAUAAAGGAGGAACCCAGUUUUCACAUUGCUCUCUCAAGCAGCGUGUUUUUAUUUCCUGUCUUCUUAACCCAGAAUUUGUGGCAUUGGCUGCUGCUGUUGUGACAGAUGCUGAAAGAGGCUGGCAGUAUUUUUGGUGCUGAAACCAAAACUUGUAAGAGUUUGUCUUUGUUGACAAACUCUUAAAAGAAAGAUUUACUGUUAUG